GGUCAUGUGAUCUUUAUUCUCACUAACCAUGUAAAUUGUAAGCAGUGCAAGAAGUAGUUAAUAUUGGUUGGACUCUUAAUGGAUCCAGCUCAAACUGUAGUCUGAAGACCUGAUGUUUGAUGAUCUGAAAUAUUACUGUAGACACAUAUAAGACUGUUUUCUGUCUGUAUUCAUUCAUUUGCUGCUGUUUUACCUUUUAGAGACUUAAUAUGAAAGCUGAAGCUCUUGUUGCAGCACUUCCUUUAUAGGAGAGUUCACACCUGUCCUUAGCUGUGAGGGUUUGAGGUUUAUGAACCAGAGAACAGAGUAUAGAGGUCUGUGUGUCCUCCCUUCAGUACAUCAUGUUGUACUCUACCAGCAGCAGUUGUUUUUUGACCAGUAUGGCAAAACUGAAACUGUUCUUUGUUCUUCUUCUGCCACUAACUGUGAGUUCUGACACUGAAGAGACUCUUGUGAAAACCAUUGGGAACAAACCAGAUGUGACUCCAAUCUGCACCAAUGAAACACAGAAGAUCAUCACACUUGUAGUUUGUAAGAUCCGAACACAGAUGAGAGGAGAAGAGUGUCGCCUGACAUAUCAUCUUGGAAAGGGUUUUAUACCUGAAUGUGACUCCAGAUUCACACUUAUGAUGGAGAAUCAAACUAUGUUUCUCCACCUGACCAGUUUAACACCAGUGGAUAGUGGGAACUUCACCUGUGAGUGUUCCUUUCCUGGUAGAACAUUUACUCUCUUUCUGAAUAUCACUGUGGAAGAAGCUGUUCAAGGUCAGCAACAUCUGGAUUAUCUGUGUGUGAACCUCCUGGCUCUCUGGACCUUGCUGACCCUGAUGACCUCUACACAAGCCUUCAGCAACCAGAAAGUGAUCUCUACCAAACUAUCUCAAAUCCAGCCAGCAAUAUAG
rnacentral:lncRNA from 15 species